CUCCCAGUAGCGUAAUGGAUAGCGCGUUGAACAUGUAAUCCAAAGGUCGUGGAUUCCAAUCUUACCUGGGAUG